rnacentral:RNase_P_RNA from 1 species
GAAGCUGACCAGACAGUCGCCGCUUCGUCGUCGUCCUCCUUCGGGGGGAGACGGGCGGAGGGGAGGAAAGUCCGGGCUCCAUAGGGCAAGGUGCCAGGUAACGCCUGGGGGGUGUCACAGCCCACGACCAGUGCAACAGAGAGCAAACCGCCGAUGGCCCGCGCAAGCGGGAUCAGGUAAGGGUGAAAGGGUGUGGUAAGAGCGCACCGCGCGGCUGGUAACAGUCCGCGGCACGGUAAACUCCACCCGGAGCAAGGCCAAAUAGGGGUUCAUAAGGUACGGCCCGUACUGAACCCGGGUAGGCUGCUUGAGCCAGUGAGCGAUUGCUGGCCUAGAUGAAUGACUGUCCACGACAGAACCCGGCUUAUCGGUCAGUUUCACCU